UACGUAGGGUGCGAGCGUUGUCCGGAUUUACUGGGUUUAAAGGGUGCGUAGGUGGACAAUUAAGUCAGUGGUGAAAUCUCCGGGCUUAACCCGGAAACUGCCAUUGAUACUACUUGUCUUGAAUACUUUGGAGGUAAGCGGAAUAUGUCAUGUAGCGGUGAAAUGCUUAGAUAUGACAUAGAACACCAAUUGCGAAGGCAGCUUACUACACAGUAAUUGACACUGAGGCACGAAAGCGUGGGGAUCAAACAGG
rnacentral:rRNA from 1 species